GAGUAAUGCGUGACCAACCUGCCCCAUGCUCCAGAAUAGCUCUUGGAAACGGGUGGUAAUGCUGGAUGCUCCAACUUGACGCAUGUCUUGUUGGGAAAGUGUUUAGUGGCAUGGGAUGGGGUCGCGUCCUAUCAGCUUGUAGGCGGGGUAAUGGCCCACCUAGGCUUCGACGGGUAGCCGGCCUGAGAGGGCGGACGGCCACAUUGGGACUGAGAUACGGCCCAGACUCCUACGGGAGGCAGCAGCG
rnacentral:rRNA from 1 species